AUACUCUGGUUUCUCUUCAGAACGCAAAAAUCUUUCGCCUUUUACUAAAGAUUUCCGUGGAGAGGAACAACUAUGAGUUUUCUACAAUUUUUUGAGGCCUGGUCACUGACCAGGCU